UACGAAGGUGGCAAGCGUUGUUCGGAUUCACUGGGCGUACAGGGUGUGUAGGCGGUUUGGUAAGCCUUCUGUUAAAGCUUCGGGCCCAACCCGGAAAGCGCAGAGGGUACUGCCAGGCUAGAGGGUGGGAGAGGAGCGCGGAAUUCCCGGUGUAGCGGUGAAAUGCGUAGAGAUCGGGAGGAAGGCCGGUGGCGAAGGCGGCGCUCUGGAACAUACCUGACGCUGAGACACGAAAGCGUGGGGAGCAAACAGGAUUAGAUACCCUGGUAGUCCACGCCCUAAACUAUGGAUACUAAGUGUCGGCGGGUUACCGCCGGUGCCGCAGCUAACGCAUUAAGUAUCCCGCCUGGGAAGUACGGCCGCAAGGUUGAAACUUAAAUGAAUUGACGG
rnacentral:rRNA from 1 species